rnacentral:rRNA from 1 species
CUACGGGAGGCUCCAGUAGGGAAUUUUCGGCAAUGGGGGAAACCCUGACCGAGCAACGCCGCGUGAAUGACGACGUACUUCGGUAUGUAAAGUUCUUUUAUCAAGGAAGAACGACUGGUGGGAAAGCCAGUGUGACGGUACUUGAUGAAUAAGCCCCGGCUAACUAUGUGCCAGCAGCCGCGGUAAUACAUAGGGGGCGAGCGUUAUCCGGAAUUAUUGGGCGUAAAGGGUGCGUACGCGGCCAUUUAAGUCUGAGGUAUAAGUGCAGUGCUUAACGCUGUGAUGCUUUAGAAACUGGGGGCUAGAGUGUGGUAGAGGUAAGUGGAAUUCCAUGUGUAGCGGUAAAAUGCGUAAAUAUAUGGAGGAACACCAGUGGCGAAGGCGGCUUACUGGGCCACAACUGACGCUGAGGCACGAAAGCGUGGGGAGCAAACAGGAUUAGAUACCCGAGUAGUC